rfam:Canis lupus familiaris chromosome 1, whole genome shotgun sequence.
AGAUUUGUGACAGUGACAGUAUCGUAGCCAAUGAGGUUUACCGGAGGCAUGAUUAUUGCUAAAAAUUCACAUUUGACUCCAUAACAUGACAUUGUUCUUUUUUAAAAAAAGAUUUAUUUA